rnacentral:lncRNA from 1 species
AAGUUGGUGGUGAUUGUGGUGGUGGAGCUAAUGACAUGUGUGCAGAAACUCUUCUGAAUGGGACUUCCCUGAUCCUGUUUUUACCUGAUCUUCAUGCUCAAUAGAAAAAGCCUCAGCUUUGGAAUCAGCUUCCCAGUGAACACCGAGAGUUGAGUUUAGCAACUGUUUGGACUGGCCAUGUAACAGGGCCGUCCAGGUAGCAUGGCAUGGUACUGGAACACUAUGUCUUCUCUCUGACCUCUCGGAAUAUCUCUGUGAUUCAAUGUGUUGGCCCAUUGGAGGCCCUGGCCAGGAAUAUUUAAGGAUUCCCAUUGUUUCACACUCUUGACAGCACUUGGUAUUGUCAGACUUCAACACAAUUGCCAGCCAAGCACUUUCUGGGCAUGCAGAGCCAGAGAAAAAGAUGAGAACUUAAUGAAGGUCAUGCAGCUAAGAAGUGAAAGAUCCAAGAUUUGAACCCAAGCUGUUUGAUUCCAGAGCCUAUGCUUUUAACCAUUCCUCUAAAAAUAAUGAUAAUGAAGGUAACUUUGGAACAUGACAAAUAUAUUUCACUUUGAUAUAAAGCCAUCAACAUCUAAAACCUGUCUCUGUGUUUACUUUUUCAUCAUUGUGGAGUGGAACAUAAAAAGUUACUUGUGCUUCAACAAGAGCUGUUAGUCACGCUGUUCUCUCUCUCCUCUCUCCACUUCAUUCAGGAUCAAGGUCAUUGUGCUGAAUACGUGGCCUUACAAUCACUUCCAUUUUAUGACCACAAAAUGCGAUGUCCAAAACACAGAAAUAUGACUUUAUGGCAAAAACAUCUAGAAAGAGAUUUCUUA